CUGCAGCCAGGGCAGGCCCUAACAGGACAGCCUGGACACUGCUAGCCGGUAGUGUGGUGUCGGAAAAACACCGGCAGCC
rnacentral:sRNA from 12 species